GGUUUCGUAGCUCAGGUAGUAGAGCGCUCGUCGCGUUUGAGCAUGCUGUUUCUGUCGCUGGUUCGAAUCCAACCGAAACCU
rnacentral:tRNA from 1 species